CCUUCGGGAGCUUGCACAGGUGCUGCAUGGCUGUCGUCAGCUCGUGUCGUGAGAUGUUCGGUUAAGUCCGCUAACGAGCGCAACCCUCGCUGUGUGUUAUAUGUGUCACACGGGACUGCCGGGUCUUAAGCCGGAGGAAGGUGGGGAUGAUGUCAAGUCAGCAUGGCCUUUAUAUCCUGGGCUACACACACGCUACAAUGGCCAACACAAUAGGUUGCUAAGCCGCGAGGUGGCGCCAAUCCAUAAAGUUGGUCUCAGUUCAGAUUGUAGGCUGCAACCCGCCUGCAUGAAGAUGGAGUUGCUAGUAACCGCAGGUCAGCUAUACUGCGGUGAAUACGUUCCCGGGGCUU
rnacentral:rRNA from 1 species